GACGAACGCUGGCGGCGUGCUUAACACAUGCAAGUCGAACGGAAAGGCCCUGCUUUUGUGGGGUGCUCGAGUGGCGAACGGGUGAGUAACACGUGAGUAACCUGCCCUUGACCUUGGGAUAACUUCAGGAAACUGGGGCUAAUACCGGAUAGGAGCUCCUGCUGCAUGGUGGGGGUUGGAAAGUUUCGGCGGUUGGGGAUGGACUCGCGGCUUAUCAGCUUGUUGGUGGGGUAGUGGCUUACCAAGGCUUUGACAGGUAGCCGGCCUGAGAGGGUGACCGGCCACAUUGGGACUGAGAUACGGCCCAGACUCCUACGGGAGGCAGCAGUGGGGAAUAUUGCACAAUGGGCGGAAGCCUGAUGCAGCAACGCCGCGUGCGGGAUGACGGCCUUCGGGUUGUAAACCGCUUUCGCCUGUGACGAAGCGUGAGUGACGGUAAUGGGUAAAGAAGCACCGGCUAACUACGUG
rnacentral:rRNA from 1 species